AAUCUUCUACAGGAAUUGCCAUUGAAACUGUUAGACUUGAGAAUGGACGAGGUAGGCGGAAUUCGUAGUGUAGCGGUGAAAUGCAUAGAUAUUACGAAGAACUCCAAUAGUGUAGACUGCUUACCAGACCAUAUCUGACACUAAGGCACGAAAGUGUGGGUAUCAAACAGGAUUAGAUACCCUGGUAGUCCACACAGUAAACGAUGAAUACUAACUGUUUGCGAUAUACAGCAAGUGGUCGAGCGAAAGCGUUAAGUAUUCCACCUGGGAAGUAUGCCGGCAACGGUGAAACUCAAAGGAAUUGACGGGGGCCCGCACAAGCGGAGGAACAUGUGGUUUAAUUCGAUAAUACGCGAGGAACCUUACCCGGGCUCGAACGAUAUUUGAAUACAUCCGAAAAGAUGUAGCUAGCAAUAGCAAAUACCGAGGUGCUGCAUGGUUGUCGUCAGCUCGUGCCGUGAGGUGUCGACUUAAGUGUCAUAACGAGCGCAACCCUUACCGAUAGUUACCAUCAGAUAAUGCUGGGGACUCUAUUGGGACUGCCACCGUAAGGUGUGAGGAAGGAGAGGAUGACGUCAAAUCAGCACGGCCCUUAUGUCCGGGGCGACACACGUGUUACAAUGGGAGAAACAAAGGGUCGCUACCUGGCAACAGGAUGCUAAUCUCGAAAAUCUCUCUCAGUUCGGAUUGGAGUCUGCAACUCGACUCCAUGAAGCUGGAUUCGCUAGUAAUCGCACAUCAGCCAUGGUGCGAUGAAUACGUUCCCGGGCCUUGUACACACCGCCCGUCAAGCCAUGGAAGCUGGAAGUACCUGAAGUAUGUAACUGAAAAGAGCGUCCU
rnacentral:rRNA from 1 species